GACGUAGGGUGCGAGCGUUGUCCGGAUUUAUUGGGCGUAAAGAGCUUGUAGGCGGUCUGUCGCGUCUGCUGUGAAAAUCCGGGGCUUAACCCCGGGUCUGCAGUCGAUACGGGCAGGCUAGAGUGUGGUAGGGGAGAUCGGAAUUCCUGGUGUAGCGGUAAAAUGCGACGAUAUAUGGAUGAACACCAAUAAAGGCGAAGGCAGUUAACUAUUCUGCUACUGACAUUGAGGGCACGAAAGCGUGGGGAGCAAAACGG
rnacentral:rRNA from 1 species